UACAGAGAGUGCAAACGUUGUUCGGAAUUACUGGGCUUGAAGCGCACGUAGGCGGCGUUGUAAGUGUCGGGUGAAAUCCCACGGCUCACCCGUGGAACCGCCCGGCAUACUGCGAUGCUAGAGUGUGGUAGGGGAGAGCGGAACUCCUGGUGGAGCGGUGAAAUGCGUAGAUAUCAGGAGGAACACCGGUGGCGAAGGCGGCUCUCUGGUCCACAACUGACGCUGAGGUGCGAAAGCGUGGGGAGCGAACAGG
rnacentral:rRNA from 1 species